rnacentral:piRNA from 1 species
ACCAGGCAAUAUUAUAGAGGUAAAAUGA